rfam:Triticum aestivum genome assembly, contig: Triticum_aestivum_CS42_TGACv1_scaffold_576755_7BL
UUUAUACUCCCUCCGUCCCAAAAUUCUUGUCUUAGAUUAGUCUAGAUACGGAUGUAUUUAAUACCAAAACGUGACUUGAUAUAUCCGUAUUUAGACAAAUCUAAGACAAGAAAUUUGGGAUGGAGGGAGUAUAUC